AUACGGAGGAUGCAAGCGUUAUCCGGAUUUAUUGGGUUUAAAGGGUGCGUAGGCGGUUUGCUAAGCGGGAGGUGAAAUGCCGGCGCUCAACGUCGGAAGUGCCUCCCGAACUGGGGGACUGGAAUGACUCUGCCGUGGGAGGAAUGUGUAGUGUAGCGGUGAAAUGCUUAGAGAUUACACAGAACACCGAUUGCGAAGGCAUCUCACGAAGGGUUGAUUGACGCUGAGGCACGAAAGCGUGGGGAUCAAACAGGAUUAGAUACCCUGGUAGUCCACGCAGUAAACGAUGAUGGCUAACCGCUGGUUUUUUCGGAUCAGUGGCCAAGCGAAAGCGAUAAGCCAUCCACCUGGGGAGUACGACCGCAAGGUUGAAACUCAAAUGAAUUGGCGGGG
rnacentral:rRNA from 1 species